rnacentral:rRNA from 1 species
AUUGAACGCUGGCGGCAUGCCUUACACAUGCAAGUCGAACGGCAGCACGGGGCAACCUGGUGGCGAGUGGCGAACGGGUGAGUAAUGCAUCGGAACGUGCCAUUGAGUGGGGGAUAACGUAGCGAAAGUUGCGCUAAUACCGCAUAUUCUGUGAGCAGGAAAGCAGGGGACCGCAAGGCCUUGCGCUCUUUGAGCGGCCGAUGUCAGAUUAGCUAGUUGGUGAGGUAACGGCUUACCAAGGCGACGAUCUGUAGCGGGUCUGAGAGGAUGAUCCGCCACACUGGAACUGAGACACGGUCCAGACUCCUACGGGAGGCAGCAGUGGGGAAUUUUGGACAAUGGGCGCAAGCCUGAUCCAGCCAUGCCGCGUGAGUGACGAAGGCCUUCGGGUUGUAAAACUCUGUCUUUUAAGACGAAUGGAUAGCUUGUAAAUAAUAAGCUAUACUGACGGUACUAAAGGAGGAAGCCACGGCUAACUACGUG